UAGUAACGACCAUGUUAUUAAUCAAAAGGCAAACGAAACACAAAAUCACUCUUUCUUAUUUCUGUUGCCAUCUUCACCGCACCGGAGGCCAACUCCGACGACAGAUCAAACCAAAUACAGAAGUCUUACCACCAAUCUCUCCCUCUCGAAACCCUCACUCCAAAUCCAUAAACCAGGAUCUCUAAUUCCUAAGUAAUAAUCUGAAUCAACACGAAAACUCCACAAACCCUAAACCAAAGAAUCAAAGAUUAAAUGAAGAUUCGAAGGAAUCAAAGCUUCCUAGGAGAAUGCUUUGAUCCCUGAGGUGGAUAUCUAUAUGAUGGUACAUGAAAUCGGGCGAAAUAAGGAAGAAGUGGGGACUUACCUCGCCGAAGAAUAGAGUCGGAGCUCAAAGCAGGUGCGCAGGCAUUGACGAAGAAAUCUUCAGAGAGCUUCUGAGUGAGGGAGAAUGAUGAGAGUGGUGAUUUGGUCGUAGCUCGUGCGCUUCAAUGGCCACAAAACUGAGCUUUGAGUAGAGGUGAAAAGGAGAAGAGUUGUAGAGAAAAAAUCAGAGUGAAAAGCAUCUCUCCAAAAACGGUUCUAUCUUUGAUUUAUAGUGCAAGAAAAUAACUGAAUCUGUUAGAGUUUGUUAGGUUGAACUCAGUGAGUUCUAAUUGUAAACUCACUGAGUUGGUCCUUUCCCUCUCUUGGAUCAUUAACCGAUUAAGUGAGCUCAAACAUGUGGUGACUGGCUACUGUAGGUAAAAUUGAAUGGGCUUGGUGGAGUUACUCACAUCAAGAGACCUACUGAACAGGGUUUCAUUUCUGGACUGGUGAACAAUUGCAACCUUGAUUGUUGUAUGUUGCUGUUAAUUCUACUAGCAUGAUGAUGGAGUUCCAAUUUCAUCAAAUUUGUGAACCUGGCCCAUGGGCUUACAAGGCAUUCUACACAGUGAUGCUUUGAUGUUAUGCUACCAUGGUGGAGAAUGGUCAAGAGGUUCCAUUGCAUAUGACUAGUUCUAUUGUGAACAUUGCUGAUGUUACGAAUGUGGCCCGUAGUGGUCGGGUUUUGGGGCCUGUUUUCCCGAAGGAUGUUGGUAAGAGGAUUGAGGUACCUGCAGUAGAUCUGGUUAGCGCUCCAAAGUGUCAGUUUGGUAAAUCUAGCAGUUUGAAGCCUAACGAUGAUGAUGAGGUGCUUCGUUUGAUAAAGAAGAGUGAAUUCAAUGUGGUGGAGCAUCUGCUCCAAACUCCUUCCAAAAUUCCAGUGUUGUCUUUGCUCAUGAACUCUGAAACCCACAGAGAAGCGUAGUAAAGAGUAUUGAACAACACUCAGUUGCAGUAAUUGAGGGGGGUGAAGAUGAAGAAUGCACCAAUUUCGUGACACAUGGAAAAGCUUGCAACAAUUGGAUCGUUGUUGAUGUUCCUGUUAUUGUUCAUUUCUCUAAGUAAUUGUUUUAUUAUUUGAAAAUCCUUCUCCUAUGUCUAAGGGAGAAGUGAAUAUUGUCAGGCAUCUUUCAAUUUGAUCAUUAAUAAAAUACAAUUCUAUCCA